rnacentral:rRNA from 1 species
CNACGCUGGCGGCGCGUUUUAGCAUGCAAGUCGAACGGUAGAAAUACUUCGGUAUUUUGAGAGUGGCGAACGGGUGAGUAACACGUAGGUAAUCUGCCUGGGUGUCUGGGAUAGUCUAUGGAAACAUGGGGUAAUACCGGAUACGGUCCUUCUGACGAAGGUUGGGAGGAAGAAAGGAGCUUCGGCUCCGCAUUCAGAUGAGCCUGCGGCUCAUUAGCUGGUUGGUGGGGUAACGGCCUACCAAGGCGACGAUGAGUAGCCGGCCUGAGAGGGUGAACGGCCACACUGGGACUGAGACACGGCCCAGACUCCUACGGGAGGCAGCAGCUAAGAAUCUUCCGCAAUGGGCGAAAGCCUGACGGAGCGACGCCGCGUGAACGAUGAAGGCCGAGAGGUUGUAAAGUUCUUUUCUUGGGGAAGAAUAAAGUCGGCAGGCAAUGGCCGGCAGAUGACAUGAACCGAGGAAUAAGCCCCGGCUAAUUACGUGCCAGCAGCCGCGGUAAUACGUAAGGGGCGAGCGUUGUUCGGAAUUAUUGGGCGUAAAGAGCGCGCAGGCGGUAUACCAAGCCUGAUGUGAAAGACCUCGGCUUAACUGAGGCAGUGCGUUGGGAACUGGUAUGCUAGAGUAUAAGAGGGGGAGUUGGAAUUCCAGGUGUAGGGGUGAAAUCUGUAGAUAUCUGGAAGAACACCGGUGGCGAAGGCGAACUCCUGGCUAUAUACUGACGCUGAGGCGCGAAAGCGUGGGGAGCGAACAGGAUUAGAUACCCUGGUAGUCCACGCUGUAACGAUGUGCACCAGGUGUUGGAUGGGAGCAUUCAGUG